rnacentral:rRNA from 1 species
CAUGUCCUUUUGAGUUUAAUUUAAGGUCUGAUCUGCUCAAUGAAUUUUAAAUAGCCGCAGUAUUUUGACUGUGCAAAGGUAGCAUAAUAAUUAGUUUCUUGAUUAGGAACUGGAAUGAAUGAUUAGACAAGAAAAUUACUGUCUCUUUUUUAAAUUUAUUGAAUUUUAUUUUUAAGUGAAAAAGCUUAAAUAUUUAUAAAAGACGAGAAGACCCUAUAGAGUUUAAUAAAUAUUUUAAAUAAGAAGUUAGAAAAUUAUUUUUAAAAAAUUUAUUUAAUUGGGGUGAUUGAAAGAUUAGAAAAAUUCUUUUAUAUAAAAGUUGUUAAUUUACAAAUUUUUAUAUCUAUUAUUAAUAAAUAUAAAAUAAAUUACCUUAGGGAUAACAGCGUAAUUUUUCUUCAAAGUUCUUAUUUUAAGGAAAGUUUGCGACCUCGAUGUUGGAUUAAAAUUAAUUUUUGGUGCAAUAACUUAAAAAUUAGGUCUGUUCGACCUUUAAAAUUUUACAUGAUCUGAGUUUAAACCGGUGUGAGCCAGGUUGGAUUCUAUCUUUAGAUAAUUAAAUAUAUUUUAGUACGAAAGGACCAAAUAUAUAUUAAAUUAAUUG